rnacentral:rRNA from 1 species
AACGAACGCUGGCGGCAUGCCUAACACAUGCAAGUCGAACGAGACCUUCGGGUCUAGUGGCGCACGGGUGCGUAACGCGUGGGAACCUGCCUUUAGGUUCGGAAUAACUCAGAGAAAUUUGAGCUAAUACCGGAUAAUGUCUUCGGACCAAAGAUUUAUCGCCUUUAGAUGGGCCCGCGUUGGAUUAGCUAGUUGGUGGGUAAAGGCCUACCAAGGCGACGAUCCAUAGCUGGUCUGAGAGGAUGAUCAGCCACACUGGGACUGAGACACGGCCCAGACUCCUACGGGAGGCAGCAGUGGGGAAUAUUGGACAAUGGGCGAAAGCCUGAUCCAGCAAUGCCGCGUGAGUGAUGAAGGCCUUAGGGCUGUAAAGCUCUUUUACCCGAGAUGAUAAUGACAGUAUCGGGAGAAUAAGCUCCGGCUAACUCCGUGCCAGCAGCCGCGGUAAUGUGACUACUG